ACGUAGGGUGCGAGCGUUAAUCGGAAUUACUGGGCGUAAAGCGUGCGCAGGCGGUUUCGUAAGACAGAUGUGAAAUCCCCGGGCUUAACCUGGGAACUGCGUUUGUGACUGCGAGACUUGAGGGCGGGAGAGGGGGGUGGAAUUCCACGUGUAGCAGUAAAAUGCGUAGAGCUGUGGAGGAACACCGAUGGCGAAGGCAGCUUCCUGGGUCAUCCCUGACGCUCAUGCACGAAAGCGUGGGGAGCAAACAG
rnacentral:rRNA from 1 species